GACGGCUACAAAUACCUAAAGCUUGAGAAAGAAACUUGAAGAUAUUGAUUGAAGUCUGGAUCGAUCUUUGGUAAUGCUAUGAUCAAGAACAACAAGAUCGUGAGCACAGAUCGGCCAGUUCGGUCACUUUUUAAAAGAGAGAUGUUAUAUUGUUAAUUUGUUAUUAUCAGGUAUAAUAAAUACAGAAUAGUUCGUCCAGAGACCAGACAUGUUAUAGUUUCAAUUUUAUGACAGUCUUGUAAUAAUAUUUGUUUAAUAGUGUGUCACCUUCUAUUUCUGGGUUAUUACUUGGUCCCGAAA
rnacentral:miRNA from 1 species